AUGAAUUUUGCCAGCAUCUUCAGAUGGUGAAAUGUCAAGCAAAAAGUGCAUUCCAAGCCCUCAAGAAGUUGUGUCAAGCCCUAGUCGUGAAGGCAUUCCAGAUCUAAAGAGUAGAAAUGGACCUAUAUGUAUGGUUUUAUUGAUGAAAAUAUGCCAUGCCCCAGUGACAAAGGUGAACCAGUUUCUAAAAAUGGAGAUGAAGCUUGACCCUGGAAAGAAAGCAUGUCUGUCUCUAAUGAUAGAGAUGUGACUUUAUCCAGGGACUGAGAUCUGCCAGUUCUAAAUGAAGGAGAUUUGCCAGGUGCUGAUAUUACUGAUAUCCUACAUGUGGGUCCCAUCUGCUCAAGGUUCCAAUAGUGAAAAAUCUUGGUUAGGAAUGAAGUGUCAUCAGAGGCACUAAAGGAAACUGAUGGCAUUGUUUUUGAGAAUAAGAGUGAGGAGGAGAUAGAUGACAGUCAAGACAAUCAGGAUGUCCAUAUUGUCACUCCAGGGAAGAAGAAGUCAUUUCUGAUCCUAGAUCUACUUUGGAAGAUUCUACAUGCAAGUGACAAGAGAUACAAAAAAAUCCCAAGGACAUCAUGAGAAAUGAAUUUAAUCAACAGACAUUGCGGAAAAAAUUUUCUAAAAAAUUGUAAUAGGACCUUAGAGAAGUGUAAAACACCAAGGAUAUAAUCUUGUUAAAAAACAGAGAAAAUCUAUAUUAACAUUCUACUUUCAAUUGAUAUGCUUUGAGAAAUAUGAUAAACACUGUGUUUUAAAGCCACAGUAAUGGAGGACAUUGAAUUCUUUGCAGCAGUUUUAUCAUUAGGCCAUUCCAAUUUUUUUCUGUUUUUAGUGUCUGUGGAUGGAUUGGUUUUGAGGUCAUGCAAUCAAGAACAAACACAAAAUGAAAUUGACAAAUACAAAUCUUUGACAAGCAAUUUACUCUUCUGGGAUCAGCAUCUCUCUUUUUUGAAAGUGAUGUGCUCAAGUUUUUUUUUUUUUUUUUUUUUUUUUUUGUUUCAUUAAACUAGUAGUAGUAGUAGUUUAAUUUAGCUAUAAUAUGAGGAAAAUUCUCAAAUGAUGCUAAAGGAGUUCUAGAACUUUGCGUAAAAUGUUGUUUUUUCCCCUUUUGUUUUGUAAUUUUUUUUUGGAAGGAAAGAAAUGUUUUGAAAUUUAGGUUGGAUGCUAAACAAAGAAAAAAACUUGGAAUGGCCUCAUAUAACCUACAUGGACUAAACUGGCAUAAAUGAAGAGUGCUUAAGAAGCUGUGCAUGAUGUAUGUAGGAAAUGAUUUUGAAGUAUUAAAUAUUUUAUGCAAAAGGAAA